rnacentral:rRNA from 1 species
UACGUAGGGUGCGAGCGUUAAUCGGAAUUACUGGGCGUAAAGCGUGCGCAGGCGGUUCGUUGUGUCUGUGGUGAAAGCCCCGGGCUUAACCUGGGAAUGGCCAUGGAAACUGGCGAGCUGGAGUGUGGCAGAGGGGGGUGGAAUUCCGCGUGUAGCAGUGAAAUGCGUAGAGAUGCGGAGGAACACCGAUGGCGAAGGCAGCCCCCCUGGGUUGACACUGACGCUCGAGGCACGAAAGCGUGGGGAGCAAACAGG